rnacentral:tRNA from 1 species
GAGGGUAUAGCUCAGCGGUAGAGCGUGUGCUUAGCAUGCACAAGGUCCUGGGUUCAAUCCCUAGUACUUUCA